AUAUGGAAGAAGAGACGUCUCAUCCCUCAACAUCCAUACUAAUAAGAUACCAAGAACCUGGACAACGCACCGGGAGAGGAUCCCCACUCUACGAUGACAAGUCACCUCCCUCAGGUGAGCUCUGUGAUAUCUGCCGCAUGACUGAGCACCAGCCCCCGCAAGCUCCCAGCUGGCCAGUGCCACUUCCACUCUCAGGAGAGACCCUCCUCGGGCGGACAUCAGGAGGAAUCUUGCUUCUCUCAGGCUCUACUGUUGAGGCUUCUGUCCCGGCAAAAUCCCUGCUUCCCUGACACGAGGGCUGAUGUUAAUGGUUCGUGAGCUGAACAAGGCUUGGAACAUACUUUGCUUAAGAAGAAAUGACAACAUACUUUCUGUGGGAGUAGAACUUUAAAUACAAGUCUACACAAAUGGUAGGAUUGAUGUAGACCCAGUGUUCAGCUGCAUUUCAAGUACAGCAUUUUCUCCUGGAAUGGAUUGGCGGAUUGAGUGGUAUGUAGGCAUUUCAAGGCACCAGAGAGCACAGAUGAAGCCAACAAACCUUCCUAAAACAGAACAGACCUGCUAAAAUACUUCUGAAGGGAACCAUUUCACAUUCAGCCUGAAGUCUUCUAUCCAAAGAACAUUUAACAAACUGAGUCCUAGAGGAGAAUUUAUGCAGAUUAAAAAGCAAAUCAGUGCAAAUGAGUAAAUAAAAUCAGGCAUCAGCAUCUCACCAACCCUCCCAGCAGCCCUGGGCAGCUGGGCCUGAGGGCUGGAUUUCUGGACCGAGGCUGGAACUUAGUCACCACAGAGGGCUGAGGCCCUUGUUCUGGGACCUUUCAGAGAUCUUGGACCCUGGGCCACUGCUGUACACAGGUCUCUCUGCACAAGUACCACAGGAGCCCUUGGCUCUGAGAGAACCAACCAGAAGACACCCUCUCCCUGAGAGAGGAUGUCCCAGCUCAGGCUGAACCGUGGGCUGCUUGCUUGGGGAAACCUGUGACCUGCCUGCGGGGCUGUCCAGGGUCCGCUCUAGAAUGUGUAACUGGGAGGGGAUUGGGGGCUGCUGGAGUCUGCUGCCCAGGGGGGUGAGACGUAAGACUGUGAAUUAGUCAUUGUUCACAGCAAAGACCAGUGGGGCAGAGAUCACAGGGGAGGAGGGGUCUAUGGCCCUCUAUGUUCCCUCUAAUCGCUGCCACCAAACCUGCCUUCCAAGGGUCUUCUUGGCUCUGGGUUCCAACUCAUACCUGUCCCUCUGGUAGUGUAGCUCUGACUACAACUGCUCUUGGCUGUUGAAUCCUACACCUCUGAAAAGGGUGGCAAGAACUCUUGGCUCUGGUCAUGGAGGCUGUGUGUCCCCAAAUUGCUGGUAUAGACAUGCUAGUGGGGACAGGGACACAGCUUCAUUCAGGACUGACUAACUUAAAAAGAUAAGCACACUUUGCUUUUGUAAAGAUCCUGGUAGACUUUCCCCUUUUUGUUUGUCUCUGCCUCCAAGCCUCACAGGACUCUUUCCUUACUUUCUCUGGUCCGUAGAGCGGCUAGAGCCUGCUUUCCAGGCAGGAGGCAGGAUUGCACUUCCUGGUCCCCUUGUGGGUGGGUGGAUCACGUGACUAGUUCUGACCAGUAA